rnacentral:rRNA from 1 species
CACGUAGGGGGCAAGCGUUGUCCGGAAUCAUUGGGCGUAAAGAGCUCGUAGGCGGCUCAGUAAGUCGGGUGUGAAACCCUCAGGCUCAACCUGGGGACGCCACCCGAUACUGCUGUGGCUAGAGUCCAGUAGGGGAGUGUGGAAUUCCCGGUGUAGCGGUGAAAUGCGUAGAUAUCUGGAGGAAUACCGGUGGCGAAGGCGGCAUCCUGGACCGGCAUUGACGCUGAGGAGCGAAAGCCAGGGGAGCAAACGGG